GCGCGAGUGGCGGAAUGGCAGACGCGCUGGCUUCAGGUGCCAGUGUCCCUUGGGACGUGGAGGUUCAACUCCUCUCUCGCGCAC
rnacentral:tRNA from 8 species